GCUCUGGCUCAGUGGUAGAGUGUAUGCCUUGGAUGCAAAAGGUCCCAGGUUCAAUCCCUGGCAGCAGCU